GAUGAACGCUGACAGCAUGCUUAACACAUGCAAGUCUUUGGCGAAGCUGUGCUUGCACAGCCUAGCCAAGGCGGACGGGUGAGUAACGCGUAAGGAACUUGCCCUGCAGUCAGGGAUAACAGACGGAAACGACUGAUAAGACCUGGUAAAGUCAGGCGGACUCAUGUCCAGCCUGAUGAAAAGAGAUGCUGCAGGAGAGCCUUGCGUCCUAUUAGCUUGUUGGUGGGGUAACGGCCCACCAAGGCGAUGAUAGGUAGCCGGCCUGAGAGGGUGGACGGCCACAAGGGGACGGAGAUACGGCCCUUACUCCUACGGGAGGCAGCAGUGGGGAAUAUUGGACAAUGGGGGCAACCCUGAUCCAGCAAUUCUGUGUGCACGAUGAAGGUUUUCGGAUUGUAAAGUGCUUUCAGCAGGGAAGAAAAAAAUGACGGUACCUGCAGAAGAAGCGACGGCUAAAUACGUG
rnacentral:rRNA from 1 species